rnacentral:sRNA from 1 species
CUUGACCCUGACAUUUUCUACAGGAUAUCUAGAAAGCCUCUGGACAGGCAGCAUGGCAGAAAUCAACUCUUUCCACAAAAAAAGAAGGCUGCUGCUGACACAGUGGAUAGAGCACACACAAGCUCCCUGUCUGACUCCUUCAGCUCUUGCAUAUCCCCUUGGCUAACAUUUCAGAGCUUCUGAUCCUUCAGACAUCAGCUUCUUGAUACUGAAGAGAUUGUUCUACCUGAUGAGCCCAGGCCUAGAAGAUGGACUACAUCCAAGAAGCCUGGCCAAUCUAAGGCCAAGUCACAUCUUUAAGAAAUAUUUGAAAGCAUUUGUGCACGGGAUAAAGGUGCAAGGACCAAAGUCUCCUUAGACAUUCCAGCCUACAGAGGGUCUGACAGACUCAGGUCAAAGGUUACGUCUGAAGCCUAGAUCAUGAAGAAGGCCCCACUCCACAGGAGAAGCCUGUGGCUGAUGCUAUUGCAACUAGGACUAUGAUUGUGAAACUUGUGUCUGUGGAUAGCAGAUUCACGAAUCUUGUGCCCAGGUAUCCACAGGCCUUUUUUCAUACAUUCCUUGGUAUAACUUUGCAAGUCCUGACUUUGGAAGUGUUGGGUCCUUAUGCUAUCUCACUUGACAUAUAGUCCAAGAAAGAUUUUUACCCCUUUAAGGGGCUGGAAAUAGACUGGACUCACAGUUACCAUUAAAACUGAAGUUCUGUC